rnacentral:rRNA from 1 species
GAUGAACGCUGGCGGCGUGCCUAAUACAUGCAAGUCGAGCGAACAGACGAGGAGCUUGCUCCUCUGACGUUAGCGGCGGACGGGUGAGUAACACGUGGAUAACCUACCUAUAAGACUGGGAUAACUUCGGGAAACCGGAGCUACUACCGGAUAACAUGUUGAACCGCAUGGUUCAACAGUGAAAGACGGUCUUGCUGUCACUUAUAGAUGGAUCCGCGCCGCAUUAGCUAGUUGGUAAGGUAACGGCUUACCAAGGCAACGAUGCGUAGCCGACCUGAGAGGGUGAUCGGCCACACUGGAACUGAGACACGGUCCAGACUCCUACGGGAGGCAGCAGUAGGGAAUCUUCCGCAAUGGGCGAAAGCCUGACGGAGCAACGCCGCGUGAGUGAAGAAGGUCUUCGGAUCGUAAAACUCUGUUAUUAGGGAAGAAAAAAUGUGUAAGUAACUAUGCACGUCUUGACGGUACCUAAUCAGAAAGCCACGGCUAACUACGUG